GACGAACGCUGGCGGCGUGCUUAACACAUGCAAGUCGAACGGUAGGGCCCUUCGGGGUACACGAGUGGCGAACGGGUGAGUAACACGUGGGUGAUCUGCCCUGCACUUCGGGAUAAGCCUGGGAAACUGGGUCUAAUACCGGAUAGGACCCUGGGAUGCAUGUCCUGGGGUGGAAAGCUUUUGCGGUGUGGGAUGGGCCCGCGGCCUAUCAGCCUGUUGGUGGGGUGAUGGCCUACCAAGGCGACGACGGGUAGCCGGCCUGAGAGGGUGACCGGCCACACUGGGACUGAGAUACGGCCCAGACUCCUACGGGAGGCAGCAGUGGGGAAUAUUGCACAAUGGGCGCAAGCCUGAUGCAGCGACGCCGCGUGAGGGAUGACGGCCUUCGGGUUGUAAACCUCUUUCAGCACCGACGAAGCGCAAGUGACGGUAGGUGCAGAAGAAGGACCGGCCAACUACGUGCCAGCCGCCGCGGUAA
rnacentral:rRNA from 1 species